AGGGGGUGGCCUCACAGGGCCCUGCCCGCACGGCGCUAGGAGCUACAGCCUCCCUCGUUGCCCAGACCCGACACACUAGGGUUUUUGUCCAAGAACAGGAGUACGGGAGUACGCGAGGAACGGAGGGUUUCAGUUGUAGAACAGGAGAAAGAAAUAAGUAGAGAAGAGAAUGGGAAAGGGGUAUUAUUAUCUUUUGGUCUUUCUGUGAGGGUUUUUUUGUUUUUUAUUUAUUUUAUUGCAAAAAACUAAUAGAGUUAAAAGUAGGGGUAAAAUCACAAUGUACUCAAAAAAGUAGGGACAUUUUCGCAAGGGCAAACUUGUCCUUACCGAGCACAUUUAACACCGUUACCCUGCUGUUCACGGAGUAAGGGUAAACUGAAGCUUCGUUUUCACAGAGCAAGGGUAAAAUCGUAAUGGCGAGAAAAACAAGGAU
rnacentral:lncRNA from 1 species